rnacentral:rRNA from 2 species
GAGACUUUAAGUCUCCUGAAGGAACGUUGAAGACGACGACGUUGAUAGGCCGGGUGUGUAAGCGCAGCGAUGCGUUGAGCUAACCGGUACUAAUGAACCGUGAGGCUUAACCUUACAACGCCGAAG